CGAACGGGUGAGUAACGCGCGAGGAACCUGCCUCAAAGAGGGGGACAACAGUUGGAAACGACUGCUAAUACCGCAUAAGCCCACGGCUCGGCACCGAGCAGAGGGAAAAGGAGUGAUCCGCUUUGAGAUGGCCUCGCGUCCGAUUAGCUAGUUGGUGAGGUAACGGCCCACCAAGGCGACGAUCGGUAGCCGGACUGAGAGGUUGAACGGCCACAUUGGGACUGAGACACGGCCCAG
rnacentral:rRNA from 1 species